rnacentral:misc_RNA from 1 species
UUUCCGUAGGUGAACCUGCGAAAGGAUCAUUAUUGUAUAACCGAGGUGCAAGGGCUGUCGCUGACCCGAAAGGUCGUGCACGCCCGAGUGCCCUCACACACAUCCAUCUCACCCCUAUGUGCACCACCGCGUGGGUCCCCCUUUGGCUUGUUCGGAGGGGGGCUUACGUUUUCACACAAACUUUGUAUGCAGUGUAGAAUGUAUUUUUUGUUUUUGCGAUCACGCAAUCAAUACAACUUUCAACAACGGAUCUCUUGGCUCUCGCAUCGAUGAGAACGCAGC